CGCGAUGGCAGGUGUCGGGGCUGGGCCUCUGCGGGCGAUGGGGCGGCAGGCCCUGCUGCUUCUCGCGCUGUGCGCCACAGGCGCCCAGGGGCUCUACUUCCACAUCGGCGAGACCGAGAAGCGCUGUUUCAUCGAGGAAAUCCCCGACGAGACCAUGGUCAUCGGUCAGGCGGGCUGAGGGUGGGGAGGCCCUUUGUACCCAGCUCAGCCCUCGGCGGCGCUCCCUCCUCCCGAGCCCAGCCGGGUCGCUGGCUCCCCCAGUACCUAGCCUGAGGGUGCCCCGAGGACGCCAGGCCCCCUGCCUAGAGCUCCGGGCCGCACGUCGGAGGGGGCCGGGCGGAGAGGCGGCCCACUAGGGCCGGUCGUGACUAUGUGUCUGCCCCGCAGGCAACUAUCGUACCCAGAUGUGGGAUAAGCAGAAGGAGGUCUUCCUGCCCUCGACCCCUGGCCUGGGCAUGCACGUGGAAGUGAAGGACCCCGACGGCAAGGUGGUGCUGUCCCGGCAGUACGGCUCGGAGGGCCGCUUCACGUUCACCUCCCACACGCCCGGUGACCAUCAAAUCUGUCUGCACUCCAAUUCUACCAGGAUGGCUCUCUUCGCUGGUGGCAAACUGCGGGUGCAUCUCGACAUCCAGGUUGGGGAGCAUGCCAACAACUACCCUGAGAUUGCUGCAAAAGAUAAGCUGACGGAGCUACAGCUCCGCGCCCGCCAGUUGCUUGAUCAGGUGGAACAGAUUCAGAAGGAGCAGGAUUACCAAAGGGCAAGUGCAUAUCUCCUUGUAAUUUGAGAGGGCAGUUGACCUUUAUACCCACUAUACCUACUCAAGUUUCUGCUUGGGAGAUCAGCUCUGCAGAGAAUGGAAUGAGAAGUAUUGGUUUAGAUAGGUUGUUUGUUUGUUGUUUUUGAGACGGAGUUUCACUCUUGUUGCCCAUGCUGGAGUGCAAUGCCAUGAUCUUGGCUCACUGCAACCUCCGCCUCCCCAGGUUCAAGCGAUUCUCCUGCCUCAGCCUCCUGAGUAGCUGGGAUUACAGGCAUGCGCCACCAUGCCUGGCUAAUUUUGUACUUUUAGUAGAGACGGGGGUUUCUCCACGUUGGUCAGGCUGGUCUCGAACUCCCGACAUCAAGUGAUCCGCCCGCCUCAGCCUCCCAAAGUGCUGGGAUUACAGGUGUGAGCUACCGCGCCCUGCCUGUUUUGCUUUUUUAUCAAAACAUUUUAUUGUGGUAAAAUAUAACACCAAAUGUGUCAUUUUAACUGUCUAUAUAGUUCAGUGGUAUUAAGUGCCUUCAUAAUGUUGUGCUACCAACACCAUCAUCCAGCUCCAGAACUUUUUCAUCUUCUCAAACUAAAAAUCUGUACUUAUUUUGUUUUGUUUUUGAGAUGGAGUCUCGCUCUGUUGCCCAGGCUGGAGCGCAGUGGCGCCAUCUCGGCUCACUGCACCCUCCGCCUCCCAGGUUCAAGCGAUUCUCCUGCCUCAGCCUCCCAAGUAGCUGGGAUUACAGGCAAGUGCCACCAUGCGUGGCUCAUUUUUGUGUUUUUAGUAGAGACUGGGUUUCACCAUGUUGGCCAGGCUGGUCUUGAACUCCUGGCCUCAGGCAAUCCACUGCCGCAGCCUCCCAAAGUGUUGGGAUUACAGGCGUGAGCCACUGCACCCAGCAAAUCUGUACUUAUUAUAAACAAUAACUUCCCGUUUCCUUUUGUCCUGACACCCACCAUUCUACUUUCUGUCUCUAUGAUCCUGACUACCCUAUCUCAUAUAAGUGGAAUCAUUCAGUAUUUGUCCUUUUGUGACUGGCUUAUUUCACUGAGUAUAAUGUUCUCACAGUUCAUCCAUGUUAUAGCAUGUGUCAGAAUUUCUUAAGGCUAAUAUUCCAUUGUAUGCAUGUGCCACAUUUCGCUUUCAGUAGUCAUUUUUAAGCUCUAUAAAAUAAAAUGAAGAAAGGACAGUUCA
rnacentral:lncRNA from 1 species